rnacentral:lncRNA from 10 species
UCUAGCUCAUGUAUCAUUCUUUUGUUUAGGUCCUCAGUAUUUAUAAACAGGUCUUCUGGUCAUAAAUUAGUAUCAUAUGAGCCAUCAGUAUGAGGCUGUUGCCCAGGCUGGAGCAGUGGCACAAACAUAGUUCAGUGCAGCUUCAAACUCCUGGGCUCAAAGGAUCCUCCCACCUUGGCUCCCUGAGUACUUGAGACUACAGACAUGCAUCACCACACCUGUCUAAUAAACAACAACAACAACAACAACAACAACAACAAACAAUUUAUAGAGAUGGGGUCUCACUGCAUUGCCUAGGCUGGUUUCAAACUCCUGGGCUCAAGUGAUCCUCCCACCUUGGGUUCCCAAAGUGCUGGGAUUAUGGGCAUGAUCCACUGUGCCUGGCCA